rnacentral:lncRNA from 1 species
GUCUGCUCAUAGUGAAUGACAAAGUCCGGCAUUUAUAGCGAAUGCAGAUAUCUCCCCAAGAUUUACCCCGAUGCUGCCAGUGGCUUGCAGCUAUCAAGAAUGAUGCUUAUGGUGACCAAAGAUUAUCAGAGGAAUUUUCAGGCUGAACUGAUCGGUAAUCCAUUUCGACGACAGCUGAGAAAUGAUGUGAUACCGUCAAUGUUUUUCUUCGCAACAAAAUAGAAGAUUCUCGAUUGGAGGUGACUUACAUCAGCUAGCUUGCUUGCCUAGCGGGACUAUGUUAUUUCGAGUCCUUCCACAGUGCCCUGCUGAAAAAUACCCAAAGCGGCAGCAUGAGGGAGCGGACACACAACAAGAGCACAACAAGAUUGUGGGACAGAAACCAGCAAGGCACACUGAAAGGGCAGACAUCAUCAUUAAACGUUGACCUACCAGCGCCAUCACCCACUGUCACAGGACACCAGCACCCACUUACCCCAACAGGGCUCAACUUACUCCAUACCCGAGGUGACCCACUUGACCUCCAUUAUCAGCACUCUAAAUGCGCUGACGUUAUGUCCUAGGCACUUAAAGGGCAACUUCGUGUUCAUUAUCUCCAGAAGAAUACCA